GAAGGAUUAACUUUAUGGAAAGUAUAUGUUUUGAAAGCAUAUUAAAAGAGUUCAAUUCUCUUAUUCUUCU
rnacentral:tRNA from 1 species